GAACGCAUGAGAGGUUGGUGAA
rnacentral:miRNA from 1 species